UUGGUGUCUCCAAGAAGCGAUAAACUGCUUCACAAAGAUCCCCGCAUAGCUUCACUACUACUGUGUUGGUCCAUUUCCAGAAUCUUAAGGAGUGUUCUUGUUUAGACGAUUACCUUGGAUGAUGCUUUUGCUUGGGGAGAGGCUCAAGAAGAUCAGGUAUAAACUCCUCCCCCUCUCGUUUGUUUUUGUUUCAUACAGUUUGGUGGUUGAUACAUUACUGUGCAAGUUCUAUGGUAGGUGAUUUCUUUUUGUUGCUGCAAGCAUUGACACAAUAUGUCAUGUGCAGGGAGCUUUGCAUCCGAGUUUCAGCCAUCCUCUAUAGCAAGGAGCUCUCAGCCAAAGGAGCAAGCAGCGCUGCUAGUUCCUUGAGGCCAGAUCGAGUAAGAUGGCGCACCAUGGCGUGUGGUGGCGUAUUUUGCUUCCGAGAACAAUACUGUUUAUUUUAAGUGAGAUGUACUUGUCUAGUGCUUGGUAAAAAAAUUGAAGGAUGAAGUAUCAUGUACUGUCUAUGUUGUAGUGAGCUGUAGUAGGAGUGUAAUGAAAUUUUAUCUGCUGUUGUAUGUGCUAUUUUCCU
rnacentral:lncRNA from 1 species